rnacentral:rRNA from 1 species
GACGAACGCUGGCGGCGUGCCUAAUACAUGCAAGUCGAGCGGGCCUCCGGAGGUGCUUGCACCUCCGGAAGGCCAGCGGCGGACGGGUGAGUAACACGUGGGCAACCUGCCUUUGAGGCCGGGAUAACACCGGGAAACCGGUGCUAAUACCGGAUACAUCCUCUUUCGCGCCUGCGAGAGGGGAGAAAGACGGUCUUUAAGGCCGUCGCUCAACGAGGGGCCCGCGGCGCAUUAGCUGGUUGGUGGGGUAAGGGCCUACCAAGGCGACGAUGCGUUGCCGACCUGAGAGGGUGAUCGGCCACACUGGGACUGAGACACGGCCCAGACUCCUGCGGGAGGCAGCAGUAGGGAAUCAUCCGCAAUGGGCGAAAGCCUGACGGUGCAACGCCGCGUGAGUGAGGAAGGUUUUCGGAUCGUAAAGCUCUGUUGUGAGGGAAGAACAGCUUCCGGAGGAAAUGCCGGAGGUUUGCCGGUACCUCACCAGAAAGCCCCGGCUAACUACGUGCCAGCCGCCGCGGUAAGAC